CGGGGUUUGUGGGAUCUUCCCUUGGAGGUGAUGUCCAGUGCAUUUGAUGAGAGGAGAGGUGGUCGGAGGAUUUGUACGACCGGCACUUACACGUGCUCCAGUCGGGGGUGGUGUCCGUGCAUUUGAUGGAAGAGAGGUGGUCCGUGCAUCUGUCGGGAGAGAUGUCAGAUUGUCAGUGAUUGUGACGACGGCACUGCCCGCAAACGAUUCACUGUCGAUAGAAUUGACCGUGACAGUUACAGUCUUUCCAGUUCCACCAAAC
rnacentral:misc_RNA from 1 species